CCUACGGGAGGCAGCAGUGAGGAAUAUUGGUCAAUGGGCGCGAGCCUGAACCAGCCAAGUAGCGUGAAGGAUGACUGCCCUACGGGUUGUAAACUUCUUUUAUAAAGGAGUAAAGUGAGGCACGUGUGCCUUUUUGUGUGUACUUUAUGAAUAAGGAUCGGCUAACUCCGUGCCAGCAGCCGCGGUAAUACGGAGGAUCCGAGCGUUAUCCGGAUUGAGUGGGUUUAAAGGGAGCGUAGAUGGGUGGUCAAGUCAGUUGUGAAAGUCUGCGGCUCAACCGUCAAAUUGCAAUUGAUACUGGCAGCAUUGAGUACAGGAGAGGUAGGCGGAAUUCGUGGUGUAGCGGUGAAAUGCUUAGAUAUCACGAAGAACUCCGAUUGCGAAGGCAGCUUACUAAACUGCAACUGACAUUGAUGCGCGAAAGCGUGGGUAUCAAACAGGAUUAGAUACCCGAGUAGUC
rnacentral:rRNA from 1 species